rnacentral:rRNA from 1 species
AAAGCUUGCUUUUGAUGGGCGUCGACCGGCGCACGGGUGAGUAACGCGUAUCCAACCCGCCCACCACUUGGGGAUAACCUUGCGAAAGUAAGACUAAUACCCAAUGACGUCUCUAGAAGACAUCUAAAAGGGAUUAAAGAUUUAUCGGUGAUGGAUGGGGAUGCGUCUGAUUAGCUUGUUGGCGGGGUAACGGCCCACCAAGGCGACGAUCAGUAGGGGUUCUGAGAGGAAGGUCCCCCACAUUGGAACUGAGACACGGUCCAAACUCCUACGGGAGGCAGCAGUGAGGAAUAUUGGUCAAUGGACGAGAGUCUGAACCAGCCAAGUAGCGUGAAGGAUGAAGGUCCUACGGAUUGUAAACUUCUUUUAUAAGGGAAUAAACCCUCCCACGUGUGGGAGCUUGUAUGUACCUUAUGAAUAAGCAUCGGCUAACUCCGUGCCAGCAGCCGCGGUAAUACGGAGGAUGCGAGCGUUAUCCGGAUUUAUUGGGUUUAAAGGGAGCGCAGACGGGUCGUUAAGUCAGCUGUGAAAGUUUGGGGCUCAACCUUAAAAUUGCAGUUGAUACUGGCGUCCUUGAGUGCGGUUGAGGUGUGCGGAAUUCGUGGUGUAGCGGUGAAAUGCUUAGAUAUCACGAAGAACUCCGAUUGCGAAGGCAGCACACUAAUCCGUAACUGACGUUCAUGCUCGAAAGUGUGGGUAUCAAACAGGAUUAGAUACCCUGGUAGUCCACACGGUAAACGAUGGAUACUCGCUGUUGGCGAUAUACUGUCAGCGGCUUAGCGAAAGCGUUAAGUAUCCCACCU